GGCCCGGUGGCGGAAUUGGCAGACGCAGGGGAUUUAAAAUCCCCUGAUCCGAAAGGGUCGUGCGGGUUCAAUUCCCGCCCGGGCCA
rnacentral:tRNA from 1 species